rnacentral:rRNA from 1 species
ACAUGCCUACAACAUAGUGUUAAUGCAUCAGAUCCCAUUAGAACUCCUCAGUUAAGCGCGCUUAGGCUAGAGUAGGACUGGGAUGGGUGAUCGCUCAAGAAGUUCUAGUGUUUUACAUGCC